rnacentral:lncRNA from 1 species
UUUUUUGUUCCUGGCUCCAGUCUCGGAACCCACAGACUUUGGAUUCACCGUAGUCUCCACCUAUCCCCAUAUCAAGCGGAUGGGCUUCCCGAGUCUCAGCUACCCGCUCUUUCCUUUGUCUCUGGCCUGCUCUGCGGGCACUUUCCCACAAGGCCUGGGACCCUGGAGAACCUAAGUCAUCGCUCGAGGGAGAGUUUACUGGGUUCAGGGUGAGGCUGGUGGAAGGAACAUCGUGGUGGUACGCCUGGGGUCUCCACGGGGAAGAGGACAAGGGGGACUUCCAGGAGCUUCAGCGGCAGCCAACGCUGCGAGCCUCAUCUGCGUGCGCCCCUCGUGGCGCUCGCGGGAACUGCGGGCCGACGUCCCCUGUUUCUCUCGUUGAUUUCGCCAGCUCUGAUGAGGCCGGAGCGGGCCUCUUCAGAGGAAUGUAGACUGUUUGCACCCGAAAACCAAAACCGUGUCCAAGGGGCGGGGCCGGCCUGCUGGCAUCUAGAAUGGGGCCUGGCAGAGUGGGCCCGGGAGGUGGCUCCAGGCCCAGGGCCAGCCACGCUGCUUUCCCACGUGCACAGGCGUUGGCUUCCUCUGAACCAGACUCUGGGGGGAGGGAAGAAGCCUCCGCCCUCCUCUCCUGGUGAGGCUGGCCCCUUCCAGGGACCUCCCUAGGUGCUGGCUUCCAGCCCAGCCAAACUUGUCAACCAGUAUCCCGGUGCAGGAGCUGCACAUACUAGCCCCUGUCUAGGAAAAGCUGUCCUGCGACGCCCUCUGGAGGAAGCAGGGCUUCCUUUCCUCUGCCAUCACGCUUCCACGUGAUUGUAAGUUUCCUGAGGCCUCCCAAGAAGCCGAGCAGAUGCCAGCAUCGUGCUUCCUGUACUGCCUACAGAACUGUGAGCCAAUUAUCCCUCUUUUCAUUAUAAAUUACCCAGUCUCAGGUAUUUCUUUACAGCAGUGCGAGAAAAAACUAAUACAGUGCUCUAGAACAAAUACGAAUUAGAAAGUGUCAUAAACUUUUUAAAAGUCUA